GAUGAACGCUGGCGGCGUGCCUAAUACAUGCAAGUCGAGCGAACGGACGCGAAGCUUGCUUCUCUGAUGUUAGCGGCGGACGGGUGAGUAACACGUGGAUAACCUACCUAUAAGACUGGGAUAACUUCGGGAAACCGGAGCUAAUACCGGAUAAUAUUUUGAAUCGCAUGGUUCAAAAGUGAAAGACGGUCUUGCUGUCACUUAUAGAUGGAUCCGCGCUGCAUUAGCUAGUUGGUAAGGUAACGGCUUACCAAGGCAACGAUGCAUAGCCGACCUGAGAGGGUGAUCGGCCACACGAGAACGGAGACGCGGUCCAGACUCCUACGGGAGGCAGCAGAAGGGAAUCUUCCGCAAUGGGCGAAAGCCUGACGGAGCAACGCCGCGUGAGUGAUGAAGGUCUUCGGAUCGUAAAACUCUGUUAUGAGGGAAGAACAUAUGUGUAAGUAACUGUGCACAUCUUGACGGUACCUAAUCAGAAAGCCACGGCUAACUACGUG
rnacentral:rRNA from 1 species